CUUCACUUUCCCCAUUCCGUAGUCUUCUCGACUUCUCCGUUUUCUCUUCUCCACUCAUCUCUACUUUCACUAAGAAAUGUUCCUCUUGCCCGAUCCCCUUUGUCCUAUCCUUAUCAUCUCUUCUCACUUAAAAAUUGGUGUUACCGGAUGGCUCCCAUCAGCUUGCUCUCUUGAUCCGCAUCAUUGAGGUUGCUCGUCCUCACCUGAAGCCACCACCGCUCAUGCUGCCACAGGGUGACCAUCGACGGCGGCUGGUUUGGCUCCUCGCCCGCAGCCUCUUGGAUCCAGCUUCGGUAUGAGGAUGGCGGCGGCAUUUUCUUCCCCAAGCGCGCAAGCCAAACACAUCGCCGCUAUUUCUGCGUGAGGCAGCUCAACACAUCGUCCACAUCCUCUACAGCGGAAACAUUCUUCGAAGUUCGAACUGCAGAUGGAGCUGAUGGCACUAAGAUAGGAACCCACUAUCGAAUUUGAGAUGGUACUUACUGGAGAUGGUCUGAUUGCUCGCCGGAGCCGGCUGGUGUCCGCUGGAAGAAGACAAUGCCGAAGUGCCACUGGUUGGAGGAUGUUGACUUCGAAGUGUCAUUCGCCGGAGAAAGAUGAUGUACAAGGUGUAACCUACAAUCUAGAGGACAAUUAAACCUUGAGGUGGGAGUGCUCUGUUUGGGCAGAUCGAAUCUCUGUACAUUAUUGUGAGAGUUCGGAGAGAUUGCAUCUCCAAACUUUGUUUUUGCGCCAGUUUUUUUAUUGUGGGAUGGUUUGAUGGCUCAUGGGAUGGUCGAACCUAUUGGGAUCAUGAGAUUUAUGUUGUGGGAUGCUCUAAUCGCCCAACCUAUUGGGGUCGUGAGAUUGUAAUUGUGGGUUGUUUUUUUUAACUGAUGGUGGGAUGUUUUUUUUU